rnacentral:rRNA from 1 species
GAUGAACGCUGGCGGCGUGCUUAAUACAUGCAAGUCGAACGAACAGACUAGGCGCUUGCUACCCUUACCUUACCGGUGAGCAACAGAGUAACAAGCGGCUCCCCUCUCUGUAAUACUUGGAAGAAUUCGGGAAAACUGCGCUAUUUCCGGCUCUUAUCUUAAACCGCAUGGUUCAAUGGUUUUAGACGGUUUUGCUGUCCCUCAUCGAUGGAUCCGCGCCGCAUUGGCUAGUUGGUAAGGUAACGGCUUGCCAAGGCGACGAUGCGUAGCCGACCUGAGAGGGUGAUCGGCCACACGGGAACUGAGACACGGACCAGACUACUACGGGAGGCAGCAGUAGGGAAUCUGCCGCAAUGGGCGGAAGCCUGGCGGAGCAACGCCGCGUGAGAGAUGAAGGUCUUCGGAGCGGAAAGCUCGGUAAUGAGUGAAGAACAAAUGUGUGCAGAACUGUGCACGUCGUGACGGUACCUAAUCAGGAAGCCACGGCUAACUACGUG